rnacentral:rRNA from 1 species
AUUGAACGCUGGCGGCAGGCCUAACACAUGCAAGUCGAGCGGAUGAAGGGAGCUUGCUCCUGGAUUCAGCGGCGGACGGAUGAGUAAUGCCUAGGAAUCUGCCUGGUAGCGGGGGAUAACGUCCGGAAACGGGCGCUAAUACCGCAUACGUCCUGAGGGAGAAAGUGGGGGAUCUUCGGACCUCACGCUAUCAGAUGAUCCUAGGUCGGAUUAGCUAGUUGGUGGGGUAAAGGCCUACCAAGGCGACGAUCCGUAACUGGUCUGAGAGGAUGAUCAGUCACACUGGAACUGAGACACGGUCCAGACUCCUACGGGAGGCAGCAGUGGGGAAUAUUGGACAAUGGGCGAAAGCCUGAUCCAGCCAUGCCGCGUGUGUGAAGAAGGUCUUCGGAUUGUAAAGCACUUUAAGUUGGGAGGAAGGGCAGUAAGUUAAUACCUUGCUGUUUUGACGUUACCAACAGAAUAAGCACCGGCUAACUUCGUG